CUUCUGUAAUUUCAGCUAAGUCCUGAGCCCUUGCUGGAGAGGUGAUGUGGUCAUUUGAAGGAAAGAGGGCACUCUGGCUUUUUGCUAUUUCAGCGUUCUUGUGCUCAUUCCUUCUCAUCUUUGUGGACGUAUCUACUUCAAUUUUUGUUGUUGCUGACCUUUGGAUUUUUUUUCUUUUAAUAAUCUGACCCCUUUUCUAUAGGGCUGCUACAGUAUCCUAGGGGUCCACUCCAGUCCCUGGACACCUCAAAUUUUCCAGUCCCUGAUGUACCACCCCUGAAGGUUGUGAAACAGCAAAAACGGCAGCCUGCACCCUCAUCUGAAAGCUCCAUCCCAAGAAGUGUGAUGUGCCUGCUCCCUCUUCACCUUACACUGUGAUUGUAAGCUUCCUGAGGCCUCACCAGAAGCAGUUCCCAGUAUAACACUUCCUGUAAAGCCUGCAGAACUAUACAGGAAGCACAAGAACAGCUGGGAAAUUCAUUGCAAAAAAUCUUCGCCUAGGCACAUUGUCAUCAGGUUAUCCAAAGUUAAGGCAAAGCAAAGAAUCUUAAGAGCUGUGAGACAGAAGUACCAGCUAACCUAUAUAAGAAAAUCUAAGGUUAAUGGGAAUAAAUAUUUCUACCUAAUCCUGGCUGAUCAUCAUCCAUCUGCUUUGAGAUUAUUUGGUGUGAGUGAACAAAGGAAAUAUCUCCGAAAACUGUCAGAAACUAUGCCAGUAAGAAUUCCAGACACUGUAACAUGAUAAAUGGAUGCUUUGUUUAUUUUAGUUAUUGGAUGGGAUGUUGGAUGGCUAAGUCUUCGUGUUGUGAAGGUUUCUGUUUUACAUUUAUUUGGGUUUUGAUCUCCUCUUUUGGUCUUGCUUCCCAAUAUGACAGACCUAAGGUUGUUCAUGGUCUAAUAUCAUUCCUGAUAUUAGUUGCAUACCUUUUACUGCUGUUAGUAAUUGGAUUAUUUGACACAGAUGGUAGAGACAAUAUUCCUGCAAGAUAAAUGUCAUGUUGUAAUUUCAGCCAGCCAGAUAUGGGCCAGUAAAGGGUAAGCUGCUGUAUGUUGUGUUUCACACAUUUUACCUGGUGUUCCCAGCAUUCCGGAAGAUUGACUGAGUAUUACUUUCUAGUACAUGCUCACUGGUGUUUAGAAAUUGGAAGCCGUUCUCUGAAAUUGCACUGUAGGAACAUGGAAAAUAUAGGAUGUUAUUUUUGUCUGUUUUCUGCUACUAUAACUGAAUACCUGAGGUGGAGUAAUUGAUGAUGAACAGAUAUUUGUUGGGUCAUAGUCCUGAAUGCAGGGAAGUCUGAGAUAGAGGGCCUAGCAUGUGGUGAGGCCUUUCUUGCAGUGGCACCCUAUGGAAAAGACAAAAGAGUAAGAGAGAAGAUGAGAGAGGGCAAUACAGAGAGCAGAGGGCAAAACUUGCCCAUUUAUAAUGAACACACUCUUGCCAUAAGUUGCCAUAAGUUGAUAAGGAUGGAGCCCUCAUGGUCUAAUCCCCUUUCAUUAGGCCUUAGCUUCCAACACUAUUGCAUUGGGGUUCAAGUUUCCAGCACUGGCCUUUAGGGGGAUAUAUUCAAAGUAU